rnacentral:lncRNA from 1 species
CAGGCUUUUUUAAUGAAUAUAAUCGAUUAAUCACGAAUCUUUAAACCCAAGAUUCCUGUUAGUCAAUCACUAUAUCGUGUUCCGAGGAAACCAUGUAUAUAUUUAUUAAAAACAGUUCUGCUGUACAGAUGAUGCCGCGCUGCCGAAUGUUAAUGGUAGAUUACCAGCUGAUGGCAUACGUCUUUCACCAGCAGUUAAUCUACCAUUUAAUAAUUUAUAGCUACAAAUCAAUGAACGGUUUCUUCAUCGAUUCACAUAUCGACAAUUCCGAUUUUAUUCGUCUACAUUUCAUAUUUCCAUUAUAUGGAACGGUUUCUCUUUCAAGGCGGAUGAGGCAUUUUUUCGGUAGGGAGAUGCGAAAUGCACGUGAUAUAGGAUGAGCUAUUUGAAAUAAAUUCGAAAGCACGGAGAUGCUAAGUAACACGAUUCGCAAUUUUAUUUAUUUACUUUAUUACUCUCCUUCUAAUUUUUUGCUUUCAUUAAGGUUUUCGCCUAUAAUUUUGCAG